rnacentral:piRNA from 1 species
UGGAAGUCAGCAGGAUUGUAGAAGCAGA